AUACGGAGGGUGCAAGCGUUAUUCGGAAUCACUGGGCGUAAAGGACGCGUAGGCGGGUUGGCAAGUCAGAUGUGAAAUCCUACAGCUUAACUGUAGAACUGCAUUUGAAACUGCUAACCUAGAGUAUGGGAGGGGGAGAUGGAAUUAGUGGUGUAGGGGUAAAAUCCGUAGAUAUCACUAGGAAUACCGAAAGCGAAGGCGAUCUCCUGGAACAUAACUGACGCUAAGGCGUGAAAGCGUGGGGAGCAAACAGGAUUAGAUACCCGAGUAGACC
rnacentral:rRNA from 1 species